rnacentral:rRNA from 1 species
AGCACGCUGAACUUAAGCAUAUCAAUAAGCGGAGGAAAAGAAACCAACAGGGAUUGCCGCAGUAACGGCGAGUGAAGCGGCAACAGCUCAAAUUUGAAAUCUGGCCCCUAGGGUCCGAGUUGUAAUUUGUAGAGGAUGCUUUUGGUGAGGUGCCGCCCGAGUUCCCUGGAACGGGACGCCGCAGAGGGUGAGAGCCCCGUCUGGCUGGCCACCGAGCCUCUGUAAAGCUCCUUCGACGAGUCGAGUAGUUUGGGAAUGCUGCUCAAAAUGGGAGGUAUAUGUCUUCUAAAGCUAAAUAUUGGCCAGAGACCGAUAGCGCACAAGUAGAGUGAUCGAAAGAUGAAAAGCACCUUGAAAAGAGGGUUAAACAGUACGUGAAAUUGUUGAAAGGGAAGCGCUUGUGACCAGACUUGGGCGCGGCGAAUCAUCCGGGGUUCUCUCCGGUGCACUUCGCCGUGUUCAGGCCAGCAUCAGUUCGGCGCGGGGGAAAAAGGCUUCGGGAACGUGGCUGCUCCGGCAGUGUUAUAGCCCGUUGCAUAAUACCCUGCGCUGGACUGAGGACCGCGCAUCUGCAAGGAUGCUGGCGUAAUGGUCACCAGCGACCCGUCUUGAAACACGG